rnacentral:rRNA from 1 species
AGGGUGUAAACGCUGCGGGCUUGGUGUUGGGGGUCCUUAGUGGGCGCCCAGUGCCGGAGAGAAGUUGUUAAGCCUGCUGCUUGGGGAGUAUGUCCGCAAGGAUGAAACUUAAAGGAAUUGGCGGGGGAGCACCGCAACGGGAGGAGCGUGCGGUUCAAUUGGAUUCAACGCCGGAAAUCUUACCGGGACCGACAGCAACAUGAAGGCCAGGCUGAAGACUUUGCCGGAUUAGCUGAGAGGAGGUGCAUGGCGUCAGUGACU